AGACGGUUAUAAAUUAAGGCUCUGUUGCUAUUUCUGAAUUAAUGUACCCGUACAUUAUCAUUAAUGUUAUAGAAUGAUUUGCACAAAGCAUGUACAUAUUUACAGUGAAAGUGAAACCUGUUAGUGACGCAGUUUAAAAAAAAAAAAAAAACCCCAGUAGCUAGCGAUCAUGAACAUACCUAAUUAUCAUCUUAUUCAGCUUACAUUUUCCGAGGAAGUAUAGGUUAUUAAAAAGUUACUAUAAAUUUUAAUUUCGCUAUCGCCUUUACCAUAUCAAAGCAAAUCUCUUCUUACUGUGAUAAAAAAGAAAUUUUUGGUAUUCUGAAAUUCGACGCACUUCUGGGCUACAGUCUUAGUUUCCUGUGUAGGACAGUGCCGUUGUACGUUUGAGCAAGUCACCAAUGAGCUUAAGGAGGUGUUUGCUGUAUGUCCUCUUGACUACAGUCUUUCGCUCGGUAGGAAACCAGGCCGAGCUUGGACAGCCCGUGCAGCGGGUGCAGGUGCAGGUGCAGGUGGGGGACACGGCUGUUUUGCCCUGCAAUGUCUCGGCGCACAUGAACGGUGAAACAGAGGACAACUUGUACAUCUGGUGGGUCACUAAUGAUGGACUCGUCUGUGAGUUCACCGAGGGAAAAUCCCAUUCUUAUGGUGACUACCGCAAACGAACUGAGAUAUCCAAGGAGAAGAACUCAAAGCAUCUGUACCACCUCAUCAUUAACGAAACCAGAUUAUUGGAUGAGGGAAAGUACUAUUGUCAAUUGCAAAAGA